rnacentral:rRNA from 1 species
CCACAUUACUCUUGAGGUGAAAUGCUUACACUUUCAUUUAUAGACCAAAUAAUGUUUAAUAUUUAAUUUAAAAUUAUAAUACUAAAUCUUAAUCUAACCUAUGGCAUUCAUCAUUUACUGCAAAGACUACUUGGGUAUCUAAUCCUGUUUGUGCUCUGUGCCUUCGUCCUUUAACGUCAGUUUUUACAUAGAGGGCUGCCUUCGCCUUUACCGAGUCCCUUUGGUAUCAUAGAAUUUCAUCUCUCCUCCUCAAGUACUGCCCUCUUACAUAAAACUCUAGUCAAGUACUAACAUUCUAGAAGCUAUAUUGACCGUCUAGGUACCCUUUAAACCUAAUUAAGAUGAAUAACACUAGUCUCUUACGUAUUACCGCGACUGCUGGCACGCAAUUAGUCAAGACACGAUAUAUAUACUGUCAUUAUCAAUAUAUAAACAAAGCUUUAUUCAAUUUUAAUACAAUCCUAUAGAUUAUAUUCAAAGAUAUAAUCAAAAUAGGACUUGCCACUUCUCCAAGUUGCCAGUUCAGCCGUUAG